rnacentral:rRNA from 1 species
GAUGAACGCUGGCGGCGUGCCUAAUACAUGCAAGUCGAGCGAACAGACGAGGAGCUUGCUCCUCUGACGUUAGCGGCGGACGGGUGAGUAACACGUGGAUAACCUACCUAUAAGACUGGGAUAACUUCGGGAAACCGGAGCUAAUACCGGAUAAUAUAUUGAACCGCAUGGUUCAAUAGUGAAAGACGGUUUUGCUUUCACUUAUAGAUGGAUCCGCGCCGCAUUAGCUAGUUGGUAAGGUAACGGCUUACCAAGGCAACGAUGCGUAGCCGACCUGAGAGGGUGAUCGGCCACACUGGAACUGAGACACGGUCCAGACUCCUACGGGAGGCAGCAGUAGGGAAUCUUCCGCAAUGGGCGAAAGCCUGACGGAGCAACGCCGCGUGAGUGAUGAAGGUCUUCGGAUCGUAAAACUCUGUUAUUAGGGAAGAACAAAUGUGUAAGUAACUAUGCACGUCUUGACGGGACCUAAUCAGAAAGCCACGGCUAACUACGU